AUGGGCUUAUCGAAGUCUCUAGGGCAAAGGCCCAGAACGAAGCUCAGAUGGGGGAAAACUCAGCUCACUCAUGGAUUUCUCUCGAUCUCUCUUACUCACACUGCCUUCCGGCGCGGCCGCCGAGAAUCGCCUCUGGCGGCGCUCAGUCAUGAACAUCUAAAACGAAGCCAUCAUUGUGACCUUCUUAUCAUCCUCAAUUCAUUUCCAAACCUCAUUUCCUCUGAAACCUCCCUAAAGCCUCUCAGUUAA